GCCUUCGUGGUGUAGUGGUCAGCACGCUCGGCGCGUAUUCGAGAGGUCCGUGGUUCGAGUCCCGGUGAAGGCA
rfam:Stegodyphus mimosarum contig95840, whole genome shotgun sequence.